rnacentral:rRNA from 1 species
GGAUAAGACGGAUUAGCGGCGGACGGGUGAGUAACACGUGAGUAACCUGCCUUUUACACAGGGAUAGCCUCGGGAAACCGGGAUUAAAACCUGAUGAAACUAUCAAAUCACAUGAUUAAGAAAGUUAAAACUCCGGUGGUAAAAGAUGGACUCGCGUCCCAUUAGCUAGUUGGUGAAGUAACGGCCCACCAAGGCGACGAUCAGUAGCCGGCUUGAGAGAGUGUACGGCCACAUUGGGACUGAGACACGGCCCAGACUCCUACGGGAGGCAGCAG